UACAUGGGGUGCAAACGUUGCUCGGAAUUAUUGGGCGUAAAGCGCACGUAGGCGGUUUGUUAAGUCGGAUGUGAAAUCCCUCGGCUCAACUGAGGAAGUGCAUCCGAAACUGGCAGGCUUGAGUACUAAAGAGGGUCGCGGAAUUCCCGGUGUAGAGGUGAAAUUCGUAGAUAUCGGGAGGAACACCGGUGGCGAAGGCGGCGACCUGGGUAGAUACUGACGCUGAGGUGCGAAAGCGUGGGGAGCAAACGGG
rnacentral:rRNA from 1 species